UACAGAGGUCUCAAGCGUUGUUCGGAUUCAUUGGGCGUAAAGGGUGCGUAGGCGGCGCGGUAAGUCGGGUGUGAAAUCUCGGAGCUUAACUCCGAAACUGCAUUCGAUACUGCCGUGCUUGAGGACUGGAGAGGAGACUGGAAUUUACGGUGUAGCGGUGAAAUGCGUAGAUAUCGUAAGGAAGACCAGUGGCGAAGGCGGGUCUCUGGACAGUUCCUGACGCUGAGGCACGAAAGCCAGGGGAGCGAACGGG
rnacentral:rRNA from 1 species